CAUCCAUAUUACAGGAAGCUUUAUCUACCACUGACACAAACUACGGCAGACAUCUGUUUAAUGAAGCACCUGAAGGGGCAUUGCUCCGCUGAUGAUAUCUAUAGCCAGGUAACGCAGACAUGAAAUGCAUACAAGAGAACUCAGUACACUAGUUUACAUGGAUAAAAGGAAGGAACAAACAACAAAAUUUAUUCUGCAUAUCAGCAGUGCGAUGGAUGCAGCAAAUUAAAAAAAUUCUUACCACACGCCAUGUGCUAAAGACAAUUCAGAAAUAUCUUAAGGGGGUACAAAACUGCAUACAACUAUUAGUAGCAGUAACUGUUACAUCACCAUCUCCAUCGAAAUGAGCUCCACACAAAUUGAAAAUACGAAUGAAGCUAGUUUUUUAUGUAGGAUCUUUUCACCAUCACAGGCCUCACGAAGUACCACUUGAAAUAUUUUCUUUUCUAGUCAGAGCUGAAAAUAUUGGCACACAUGUAUCAGUUGACGAACAUCAAUAUACAAAUUAACUACAAAACAAUCUAUUUCCAUAUGCAAGAUGGUCUGCAGCAUAGACAUGUAUUGAUCCAUAUGCCACGUUUAUACACUAAUAUCCUUACCAUGUUUAUACAAAUUAACUACAAAUCAGUUAGUUUUCUUUCAACUCUCAAGUCUUGCAGACUUUCAUAUGCCACGUUUAUAAAGCCAUAUACUCCGUAUAAAUGAUUGAAGAUAUCAAGCAUGUCCACCCGCAACAAAAAAAUAAACAAGAUAUCAAGCAUGUCUUGUAUAUACACUGACAUUAUCUGAUGUUCUUCCUUAGGAAAACAGGUUGGUUCCGUUACUUUUUUGAAAUUUAAAUUUUGCACGAAAAAAAGAAAAAGGAAAAAAAUUUACCUCGGGCGCCGGCGGCGGCCAGUGCGGCGCGAGGCGAGGCUCGACAAGGUCCGAACGGGGUGGUCGGCGGCGGACCGGAUCCGGUCGGGGGAGGUAGGCGGCGGCAUGGAUCC
rnacentral:lncRNA from 1 species